GCCGUGCUGCUCUCGGAGGACCAGGGGCACCCGGCGCCCACCGACGUGUGCCCCCAUCCCGCCACGGCUCCGCUCACCUGCAGCGCUGCCACGCUGGAAUCAGGCGCAGUGACAACGAGCGCGGACACCCCGGAGGACGUCGCGGAGGACAUCGAAGAGCUCCUGACCUGGAUCGACGAGGAAGUGACGGCCAACACAG